rnacentral:lncRNA from 1 species
GUGAGACUGUGAAUUCUUCAAAAGCAGGUACUGUGUUUAAUGAAGUGUGCCCAGGACUUUGCUCAGUGACUGGAUGACACAGUAGGAGUAACAAGAAAGUUCACAUGGGUGAACCGUGGUAGGUGGACAUCGUCUCUCUCACCUCUUCCCAAAUCAAGGAUGAAGUACAUCUUCAUAAAUCCUCAUGUGAAUUAUUUUGCUACCUCUAGAAGCAUUUUCUAAAACAAGGUGCAGCAAUCAGUUGAGUGAAUUUGUCACCAGAGCUUAUGUUUUCUGAAAGAACCCUAUCCUCAGGCAGUUGUUCCUAAGAGAUUCCACAAAUAUGUCAGCGCUGGAAAUGAUCCUUUGGCUUUGAACUAUGUGAAGACUGCAGAAGGACUGGUUGGUCAGGCUGCAUUUGUAUCCUGGGUCCACAAGACAUCGUUUCCUUAAAACCAAUCCCCCUGAUUUUGCUAAGUGUCUGCAAGCCUAAUAUUUCAUGGAUGUUUGACAAGGACCCCGUCUUUAGCUGAACUAAGGAGAAAGUCCUGCAACACACACAUGGAGCUCAGCAAACGGAGGAUGUAACGCACAUGAAAUUUGGUGCUGUGACUCGGAUUGGGGGACCUCCCUUGGGAGAUCAAUCCCCUGUCCUCCUGUUCUUUGCUCCAUGGGAAAGAUCCACCUACGACCUCAGGUCCUCAGACCGACCAGCCCAAGGAACAUCUCACCAAUUUUAAAUCGGGACCCCACUGGAAAUCGGACUGUUCAACUCACCUGGCAGCCACUCACAGAGCCCGUGGAACUCUGGCCCAAGGCUCUCUGACUCCUUCUCGGCUUAGCGGCUAAAGACUGACACUGCCCGAUCGCCUCGGAAGCCCCGUAGACCAUCACGGACGCCGAGCUUUAGAUGAAGAAACUGAGGUCCAGAGAAGUUAAACGACCUUCCUAAGAUUACACAGCUUAGUAAGUGGCAGAACCACAGCUGGAAGCCAGGUCCUUCCUCACGCAAGUCCUGGCUCAUUCAUUCCUCUUCCAAAGACUUGCUGAGCACCUUCUAGGUGCCAGAUGCGGUGCUGGCUCCUGGGGACAUGGGAGUGAACAGGCCAGGCGUGGCCCUGAACCAUCAAAUAGACAACCACAGAAAUAACAACAACAAAGACAAAACCGGGCCCUUCCACACAGUAGCUGGAACACAAAGGAAGAUCAGCCAAGCCUCAACAUAAUCUCAUAAAAAUUCUUCAAAUAUCCCAUUGUUAUGGAUUCAUACAUCAGGAAAGCAGAUGCCAAGAACCUGAACACCUUCUACUGGUAACAUAUAUUUUGGCGAGCCAGCCUGGAGACAAGACCACUAUGGGCAACUUCCUGUCUAUUCUACCUGGUGUCACUGUGGACAACUUCCUAUCUAUUCCACCCGAUUCACCGCUUGGCUACAUCCUCCACCAUUGGGAUGAAUUUGACCCUAACAAUCUAAAGAAAAGGCAUAUGAUUUUUUACUGCAAUAUUGUUUGACACAAUUAUGAGCUGCCCAAUCCGGAACAAUGGGCAGUCAAUGGUAGCCUUAAUUAUGAUACCAUCCUGUAUCUAGACCUAUUUUACAAGAGGCAGGGCAAAUGGUCAGAAGUCCCACAUAUACAGGCCUACAUGACCCUAUACGAAGACCUAAGAAUCUAGGAAACUCCCAGAACCCAUCCCCCGAAGGAAAGUUCUGGGGCAGAACUAGAUAUUAUAGAUGAACCCCCUUUUACAAGGGAUACCUGUCUCUCAGAGUGAGCAGUGACUGUCCCCAUAUAACCCCUCACCAAGUGCUCCUGAGGCUGAAACCCAGGGGCAAACAUGGGGAACCCUACUAAGUCCCCCUCACACUUGGAGGGGAACACUGUAUUCAACUCUCUAUCCAGCCCUGCUACUCUCAGAGAAAUAGCAGGGGCUGAGGGGCCAAUCCUAGUGUGGGUCCCCUUCUCUAUGAUUGAUAUACAACAAUGUAAGGAAAAGCUAGGAAGCUAUUCUGAGGAUUCCGGGAAGUUUGCAGAUGGGUUCCAAACUUUGACCUUAGCCUUUGAUCUCUCAUGGAGAGACGUUCAAUUCACUCUAGCAACCUGUUGCACCUCCUCGGAAAAGGAACGAAUCUUUGAGGCUGCCCUCCGAGAAGUGGACGAAUUAUUCACCCAAAACCGUAAAGGCAGUCACCCAGGCCCAGCCACAGUUCCCACUACGCAUCCUAAUUGAGACCAAGACACCCCCGCAGGAAGGAACAACUGGGCUAAAUUUCUUGAGGCUCUUGGAGGAAUGAGAAAGGGAAUAACUAAGGCAGUAAAUUAUGAUAAAGUAAGGCAGAUUACACAAGGCAGGGAGGAAAACCCAGCUGUGUUUUACGGCAGGCUGCGGGAAGCCUUUAAAAAAUAUAUACUAAUUUGGUCCCUUCCUCUCCUGAAGGCAAGUUAUUAAUGGCACAACGUUUCAUUAGCCAAUCCACACCAGACAUUAGACGUAAGCUCCAAAAGCUACACAUGGGGCCACAAACUAACCAAAAUCAGCUUCUUGGUACUGCCUUCAUGGUGUAUAACAAUCGUGACCUGGAGGAAGGAGAAGGGAAACAGAGUAAAGAAAAACGGCAAGCCAAAAUUAUGUUAGCCAUCACUGGUGAUGCCCUAAAUGCACAAAGAUUGUCCAAGGGAAACUCAAAGGGCCAUAAGGAUAAUGCCAGCAAAGGCUCUUGCUUCAAAUGCAAUAAAAGUGCGAUUGGGCACAGGAAUCCACUAAGCCCCCGCCAGUCCCCUGCCGUCAAUGUAAAAGCACCAGUUGUGGCUCCUGGCCCUGGAGAAUUGACUGUCCCUGCUCCCACCAAGGGGCUCAGUCAGUCAAAACUCUGGCAGUGCACAAGGAGGAAUCAGAUGAAGACUGAAGGGGCCUGGGGCCUUCCUCACUGCCCCGUCUAGGAACAUUGUAAUUACUACUGAGGAACCCUGGGUAACUCUGGACAUCAUGGCCACCCAAAUUCAGUUUUUAUGUGAUACCAAGGUGAAUUAUUCUGUACAACUGCUUAUGCAGGAAAACUUUCCUCCCGGUCCAUGAGUGAUAUUGGAUGGAAGGGAAGCCACAAACAAGAUUCUUACUCCUCCUUUGGUUUGUCAAUUUGAGAAACAAAUCUUCCAACAGGAAUUUUUAGUAGUACCAAGCUGCCCAAUUCCCCUGUGGGAAAGAGAUAUUAUGGUGAAAAUAGUGACACUACUGCAAUUUAAGCAAUAUUAGCAGGUGAAACUGCUAAUAGUAAGAAAUAAGGCAAUGUCCCAGACCAUGUCAAUAAACAGGUUAACCCACUGGCAUGGUAUACUGGAAACCCAGGGAAGGCUAAAACAGCAGUGCCAGUCAAAAUACAGCUUAAAGACCCCAGCCAUUUUCCCAAUGGAAAACAAUACCCAGUUGAACAGGAAGCAAGCAAAGGUCUAGCUCCCAUAGUUGAGAUAUUACUUACCCAUGGACUCUUAAAACCCUGCAAUUCUCCCUGCAAUACCCCCAUCUUACCUGUUCUCAAGCCUGGGGGGAAUACCAGCUAGUACAGAACCUCAGAAUAAUGAAUGAGGCUGUUAUCCCCGUCCACCCAUUGGUGGCAGAUCCAUAUGCCCUCCUGGCUCAGGUGCCAGGGCAUGCAAAAUGGUUCUCAGUCCUAGACCUUUCUUCUCCAUUCCUCUGGCCCCGAGCCCCCCAGUACCUUUUUGCUUUCGAAUGGGAAAAUCCUAAUACCAGAUAAAAACAAUACACUUGGACAGUGCUUCCUCAGGGCUUUCGGGAUAGCCCCCACUUCUUUGCCUGAGCAUUAGAGCGGGAUCUGAGGGAUUUCAAGUUAGAAAAUGGAGGUAUUCUUCAGUAUGGGGAUGACCUUGUGUGUAGCCCAACCUAGGAGGUUUCUGACCAAAAUACUAUAAAAACUUUGAAUUUCCUGGCAGACAGAGGAUACAAAGUGUCCAAAAAGAAGGCUCAGAUUACCCUCCAAUGGGUCCACUAUUUAGGAUAUGUCUUAACACCCGGAACCCGGCAAAUAUCCCCAGAAGGAGUGCAAGCUAUAUGUGGUUUGGCCGCGUGCACCACCCCCAGCCCCCACCCUGACCCACCUCCAAGCAGCAGCUUUGUUCCUUUUUGGGGAUGGCCGGGCUUUGGAGAAUAUGAGUACCAAAUUUUGGGCUCAUAGCAAAGCCCCUAUAUGAAGCAACAAGGGGGCCUGAAAAUGAGCUAAUGGAAUGGACCCCGGAAAUGAGGAAAGCCUUUGCCAAGUUAAAACAGGUUCUCACCCAGGCUCCUGCUCUUGGUAUCCCAGACCUAAUUAAGGCCUUCUCCUUGUAUGUAGCAGAGAAGAGGGGCAUAGCUGUGGGAGUGCUAGCCCAGAAAUUAGGAUCAGAACCCAGACCAACCGCCUACUUCUCAAAAAAGUUGGACGGAGUGGCCUCAGGAUGGCCAAGUUGCCUGCGGGCAAUAGCAGCCACUGCUGUUAGUGGAGGAAGCCACUAAAAUCACCCUAGGGCAACCACUGGAAGUUCUAACGCUCCAUCAGGUAAAGUUAGUCUUAGAAAUAAAGGGACACAUCUGGAUGACAGGGGAAAUGUUAACUAAAUACCAGCCCAUGCUCCUAGACAAUCCAGAUAUAACUCUUAAAACCUGCAACACUUUAAAUCCAGCUUCAUUGCUGCCCACAGGCCCAAUAAUUGAUCAUUCCUGUGAGCAGGUCAUUGCACAUACAUAUGUUAGCCAGCCUGAUUUAAAAGAUGAGGCUCUCCCAGAUUCUGAAGCUGACCGGCUCACAGACGGCAGUAGUUCUUUGUCGAAUGGGGAGCACAGAGCUGGAUAUGCAGCAGUAAAUCAUGACACAAUUAUUGAAGCCCAGCCAGUGCCCCCUGGCACAUCAGCACAAAAGGCUAAAAUCAUUGAUCUUACUCAAGCAUUAAUGUUGGGACAAGGGAAAAAACUUAACAUCUAUACAGAUUCUAAAUAUGCAUUCCUUGUGGUUCAUGCUCAUACCGCCAUCAGGAAAGAAAGGGGAUUACUUACUAGCAAGCACUCCCCUAUAGAGCAUGGACCUGAAAUUCUGCAGCUAUUGAAGGCAAUACACCUGCCAAAGGCCAUAGCUAUCAUUCAUUGUAGGGGGCAUCAAAGGGACUUAACCCCUAUAGCACAAGGGAAUGGAAAGGCUGACGGAAGCCAAAGCAAAAGCCCUCAGCGUGCAAUCCCAACAGAUCCUAGCACUGCUUCCUUUCUACAAUUCCCCAGUAGAACCCAAAUACACACCACAGGAAGAACAGCUAAUAAAAAAAGCAAGGGAGACAAAAACAAGGAUCCUGGUGGCAUAUGGAGCCAAAAAUAUAUCUCCCUCAGGCAGCCCAGUGGAGAGUUAUAAAAGCCCUGCAUGACUCUUUCCAUGUGGGGAGGGAUGCGGCUCUGGCCAUGGUAAACAAGUUCUUUACUGGGUUUAACUCAGCUUCAAUGGCUAAGCAGGUCUGUCAAGCCUGCUCACUGUGUGCAUUUAACAAUCCAGGCAUCAAAAUGCCCCCUCUAAUAAAACCAGUCCAAAGGAGGGGAACUUAUCCAGGGGAAGACUGGCAGUUAGACGUCAUCCAUAUGCCAGCUUGCAGAGGAUACAAGCUUUUGUUAAUACUAAUAGAUACUUUUAGGUUGGGUCAAAGGUUACCCCAGAAAAGGCUAAUGAGGUUCUAAGGUCCUCUUAAAAGAAAUAAUUCCCCAGUUUGGGUUACCUCAGGGUCUCCAAAGUGAUAAUGGCUAAUCCUUUAUCUCCCAAAUAACUCAAGGGGUUGCUAAGGCUCUUGGAAUAAAAUACUAUUUACAUUCAGCCUGGAGGCCCCAAUCCUCUGGAAAAGUGGAAAGGGUUAACCAAACUCUAAAAUAAGCACUAGCUAAACUAUGUCAGGAAACAUCAGAAACUUGGGUUAGCUUAUUGCUCACAGCCCUUUUAAGAAUUUGUAAUACCCCUAGCUCAAAAAUUAACAGAAGCCCAUAUAAAAUGUUAUACAGAAGGCCAUUCUUAACUAAUGAUUUAAUUAUUGACCCAGAAAGAGUUGGUGUAAUUAAAUACCUAGUCAACCCAGAACAAUUCCAGCGGGUUUACAAGAGUUUGGAAUUCAAAGGCUCCUCACACUUGGAACUAACCAGCAACCCAAAAUCAGGCCAGGAGAUAGGGUACUUGUUAAAACAUGGAAUGAGGGAUCACCUGCCCAACAAUUACAACCCCAAUAGAAGGGACUUUUUUCAGUAAUACUGGCCACGUCUUCUGUGGUCAAAGUACUAGUAUUAGAUAGCUGGAUACAUCUUUCAAGGAUCAAACCAUCAAUACCAGAAGCUCCAGACCAGGAACCUGAAGUUCCCAUCAGCCAGUACACCUGUGAACCAGUGGAGGACCUGAAGUACCUGUUUAAAAGAUAGCCAAAAGAUAAGUAAAUGCCUACCAACUUUCUUUGGUGUCUUUGUUGCAUAGUUACUGUGGGCUGGAAAAUAGUAGCCAUUUUUAUCUUUGCAGUUUAAUUGCCUUCUUCCAAAUAGAUAAAAAUCACUUCCUUUGUAAUAAUUAAACAGAAUUUAAAAAAUACAUUUCUAUGACAAAUAUUCCUGAUGGCAUAAGUAUCCACCCCAAGGUUCCCAUUAAAUCUUUUAACCUAAAGUAUUUCCUCUCACCUAGAGAUCAUCGAGCUGUGUGACAAGGGUGCCAGCCACUCCAGGUGAAGACACCACCCCAGGCCAUCAAGGAUCUUCCCUACCUUCACUAAACAGAGCAGGGUGAAAGUUGUGUGAUCCCCAAUAGGUAGGGACUACACCCCAAGUCAGCAGGAAGCAGUUACAGAAGAAAGACCAUUGGUCCCUCUGCUUCCCAUAAAGAUUUAUGGGGAUCACAGCUUUCACGGGGGAGAUGAGGCAAGAGAAUAGGGCAUGCAGGCAGGGUACUUGAGGCCAAUCCACGCUGACUUCCUAGAACUGAAUUAAAUGAAAGCUCCUCAGCAAUGACAGGAAUGUGAAUGGCUUUGUAACUUCUUCCUCUCCAUUAAUGCUAUUUCCACUUUGUAACUUCACUUUCAUCCUCUCCAUUUACAUAGAUCACACACCAAGUAACAUCCUCUCCAUUUACAGUAGGGCGCAUUCCGAGUCAAUGACUCUGACUGCACUUCGUUCUCCUCAUUUACAUAGAACAUUCGCCAAGUAACCAAUGGGAAACCUCUAGAGUAUUGAAACUCCAGAAAAUUCCGUAAGUGGGGCUCUUGAGCGUCUACACUCGGGUCGCUCCCACACUGUGGCGUGUACUUUUAUUCUCAAUAAAUUCCCGCUUUUGCUUUCCUCGUUC